GCCCAAGGGUUCCGACGCAACGUUCAUCGGCGUCGGGUCAGUCGGCCCCUAAGGCGAGGCCGAAAGGCGUAGUCGAUGGGAAACGGGUCAACAUUCCCGUACCGUCGUGCAAUGCGAUGGGGGGACGAAGAAGGCUAAGUGGGUCGGGUGUUGGACGUCCCGAUUCAAGCCCGUAGCCUGGCGCGGUAGGCAAAUCCGCCGCGCUAGAGGUGAGAGGUGAUGACGAGGGCAGCCCACGGGCCGCCCAAGCCACCGAGGCCCCGCUUCCAGGAAAAGCCCCUAAGCUUCAGUUGCACGAUGACCGUACCGCAAACCGACACAGGUGGGCUGGUGUCAAAGCACCAAGGCGCUUGAGAGAACCCAGGAGAAGGAACUCGGCAAAUUGACACCGUAACUUCGGGAGAAGGUGUGCCCC
rnacentral:rRNA from 11 species